rnacentral:lncRNA from 1 species
AUGCGCUCGAGCGGCGGCGGGGGAUGGGUGUUUUGGGCGCCAGGACUAGGAAUGAAAGACAACUCAGGUUAUCAGAGUUUCUCAACGAAUUGCAAAAUGGUGCUCCGCUCAGGCCGUGAAAAGCCAUACAGAGUGCCUACUUGUGGAAGGCAAAGAGUGAAAAGGAAAGUUUCGGUGAGCACCAGAUCAGCAGCUGCUGAAAACUCAGAGCUUCAACUGCGGAAAACACUGAGGUGCUUUAUACAGACUGAAGAUUCAAAAACUGUGCAUUUCAACUUAGAUGAAUGUGGUCGUCAUGAAAUAUCAACCAUGGAUUCACAACGCCCUGCAGAUACAGCAUGGUUAAGCCUGUUCACAAGCAAGGAGCCAGCAGUUAUAGGAAAAACAGACUCUAAAAAUGUGGUGGUCCUCAUGCAGCGAUUAAAGUGUAAUGAAUUUGUGCUGUUGAGCAAAGGUGAAGAUCAGCUCUGCCUGAAGGUUUUAAAGGGAUGCUGUUCCGAGCCAGAUCAUACUUCAGUGGCAAAAGGCAACAGGAGAACGUGCAAGAAGAGAGGUCUUGACUUCAAAAAGCUGAAGGAAGAUAAUCACUUUUUCAUCAUGCAUUCUGAAGGAGAUUCAGUGAAGUUCCAGUGCUAUGAAGACACAAAUUACUUUCUGCAUGUGAAUGAUCAUUCACUUGACAUACGCAAGCUGGAUCAUGAUGACCCUGAUGGGGAGAGAAACUUUGUCUUCAAGAAAUCUAAUAAACAGAAGAGUUAA